rnacentral:rRNA from 1 species
UACGAAGGGGGCUAGCGUUUUUCGGAAUUACUGGGCGUAAAGCGCACGCAGGCGGAUUGAUAAGUCAGGGGUGAAAUCCCGGGGCUUAACCUCGGAAUUGCCUUUGAUACUGUCUGUCUUGAGUCCGGGAGAGGUGAGUGGAAUUCCUAGUGUAGAGGUGAAAUUCGUAGAUAUUAGGAAGAACACCAGUGGCGAAGGCGGCUCACUGGCCCGGAACUGACGCUCAUGUGCGAAAGCGUGGGGAGCAAACAGG